rnacentral:rRNA from 1 species
CCUACGGGAGGCAGCAGUGGGGAAUUUUGGACAAUGGGCGCAAGCCUGAUCCAGCAAUGCCGCGUGCAGGAUGAAGGCCUUCGGGUUGUAAACUGCUUUUGUACGGAACGAAACGGUGAGCUCUAAUACAGUUUGCUAAUGACGGUACCGUAAGAAUAAGCACCGGCUAACUACGUGCCAGCAGCCGCGGUAAUACGUAGGGUGCGAGCGUUAAUCGGAAUUACUGGGCGUAAAGCGUGCGCAGGCGGUGAUGUAAGACAGAUGUGAAAUGCCCGGGCUCAACCUGGGACCUGCAUUUGUGACUGCAUCGCUAGAGUACGGUAGAGGGGGAUGGAAUUCCGCGUGUAGCAGUGAAAUGCGUAGAUAUGCGGAGGAACACCGAUGGCGAAGGCAAUCCCCUGGACCUGUACUGACGCUCAUGCACGAAAGCGUGGGGAGCAAACAGGAUUAGAUACCCUGGUAGUCCACGCCCUAAACGAUGUCAACUGGUUGUUGGGUCUUCACUGACUCAGUAACGAAGCUAACGCGUGAAGUUGACCGCCUUGGGGGUAGGUUACGGCCGCGAGGUUAGACGACGAAGAAGUUAGAGGCGNGAGAGNGCGACGGACGACGACGAGGGAGGUAGG